rnacentral:tRNA from 1 species
GCAUACUUAUCUCAGUGGUUAGAGAGUCCUCCUAGUGUCCGGAAGUUUCAGGUUCAAAUCCUGAAGUGUGAA